rnacentral:tRNA from 1 species
GAGUAAGAAGCGACUAUUUGCACUCAGUUUCGACCUGAUCCUAGGUAUUAACUUACCCUUACUUU